rnacentral:rRNA from 1 species
GACGAACGCUGGCGGCGUGCUUAACACAUGCAAGUCGAACGGAAAGGCCCUGCUUUUGUGGGGUGCUCGAGUGGCGAACGGGUGAGUAACACGUGAGUAACCUGCCCUUGACUUUGGGAUAACUUCAGGAAACUGGGGCUAAUACCGGAUAGUAGCUCCUGCUGCAUGGGGGGGGUUGGAAAGUUUCGGCGGUUGGGGAUGGACUCGCGGCUUAUCAGCUUGUUGGUGGGGUAGUGGCUUACCAAGGCUUUGACGGGUAGCCGGCCUGAGAGGGUGACCGGCCACAUUGGGACUGAGAUACGGCCAAGACUCCUACGGGAGGAAGGAGUGGGGAAUAGUGCACAAUGGGCGGAAGCCUGAUGCAGCAACGCCGGGUGCGGGAUGACGGCCUUCGGGUUGUAAACCGCUUUCGCCUGUGACGAAGCGUGAGUGACGGUAAUGGGUAAAGAAGCACCGGCUAACUACGUG